UAGGGAAUCUUCGGCAAUGGGGGGAACCCUGACCGAGCAACGCCGCGUGAGUGAAGAAGGUUUUCGGAUCGUAAAGCUCUGUUGUUAAGGAAGAACGAGUGUGAGAAUGGAAAGUUCAUACUGUGACGGUACUUAACCAGAAAGGGACGGCUAACUACGUGCCAGCAGCCGCGGUAAUACGUAGGUCCCGAGCGUUGUCCGGAUUUAUUGGGCGUAAAGCGAGCGCAGGCGGUUAGAUAAGUCUGAAGUUAAAGGCAGUGGCUCAACCAUUGUAGGCUUUGGAAACUGUUUAACUUGAGUGCAGAAGGGGAGAGUGGAAUUCCAUGUGUAGCGGUGAAAUGCGUAGAUAUAUGGAGGAACACCGGUGGCGAAGGCGGCUCUCUGGUCUGUAACUGACGCUGAGGCUCGAAAGCGUGGGGAACGAACAGG
rnacentral:rRNA from 1 species